UUUGGCCACAUGGGCAUUGGGUAUUUUUCCAUUACCAAGUACUUUUAUCUGAUUUUCAUGCUUUGUUUUGCCAGUUAAAUCUUUUGGUAUGAUUUUCAGUUGUUAUAAUGGAUUAUACUAAUUUUCAACAAUAGGAACCCUCUUUUAUCUUGAAAACUUUGCUUUCAUUUCUUAUAUUCACUAAUCCUUCUUAUUGCUUUUUGUUAGAAUUUUACAUAUUGUUUUUUCAGGCAUUUUCAUUAUCGAGCAGUCAUUAUUCUUUGCACCUUAAGUUCUCGAAGAUAUGGAUUUCCCUGAAGAGCAUUUUGUCUUUCCAUUAGGAAAAGCACUAUUGAUAGAAGUAUGAUCACUUCUGCGCAGUAUCUUUUACCAUUUACUGUGACUAUGUUGAUGAUGGUGUUACUGGAUAUUUCUUCUCUCAUAAUUGGGUAUCUGCUCCUUCAACUGGUGUCUGCCAAAAAUGUUUUCAAUGAGAAUGGAUGUCUCUUGGAGGGUGCCUGCUGUCCUAGUAAAGGUUAUUGAGACUACUGCUUUUGGUGCCUGCUAUCCAAGAACUCUUUGCUCCAAUGAUGACUGGAUUUAUUGCCAUUUCUUUCAUGUAAAAUCCAUCUUUGCUUUCCUUUAACAAGAGAAUAGGUUAUCCUUAUCUAUCGAAAAUAGUUUCCUUCUUGUGAUUCGUAUAAUCCAAUUGUCACACUGCAGUGCCUUCAGUUAAACUGAUGCUAAUGCCUUAGGUUGACAUGGUAUCCUAGCUUGUCCCAGGACCCAAGGACUUCGACUGGGUCAAAUGCCUUAAACUGAUACCUAUGUUCAAGAUUCUUUUACCACCUCCAGACGUCAUUUUUGGUAUGUUCUCACACCUCAUUGGUGUUGUCUCUUGUUUCUCAGAAUGUGGACCCAGUAAUGUGCUCUAUCAGUAUCACACUUGAAACUCUCAUCUGGGCAGCUGUUCAGUCUGCAAUUUAGGUGGCUACCUUGUUGGAUGAAUUUGAAGAGAAGUGAACCAUGUCUUAUAUCUCGUUAGUGUUUAAUAUUGUUCAUUCUGGCCUGUUGAUAUGCACUUUUUGUUUCUUUUUCUGUUCGUACAGAUUCUUCACUAGGAACGUUAAACUAGCAACUGGACAUAUUAUACUCGGAUGGAUUUCCUGAAUCAGUCAGGACUUAAUGAUGCGCAUUAGUGACUGCCUGCCCUUCUCUGCUUCAUUUUUUUCUUUUUCGUUUUUGUUUUAGUGUGCUUUUUUCGGUUUAGACUUCGAAAAUCGGAUUGACUUAUACAAAAAAUUUUCAGGGGUAGACCUACUUUGGCAUCAAGUGGUGGGAUCCUGUUUAUAUUGGAUGGACCGGUAGUAUUAUCCUCUGACAUUUUGCUUUAAUGGAUUAGAGGUCGAGACUUGUUUGAUUGGGUUGUUAGAUAUUUGGCGGCUCUUUGUCUCGUUGAUGAUCUUUGAUUAACACUCUCAAGUUGAUUACAGUUUGCAGCCACUGAAAUGGUGUGGCUGCACUUGUUUUAUGCUUGCACGAAUUGAACACCGUGUCUAUUUCUUCACUUCUCCAACAUCUAACCAGAUGGAUAAUUGACCCCAUAUUGUGAAUUAUUGAUCCAUUGGAAGCAACAUUGAAGAGAUGUCUGUUGAGUUAUGGAAGUGAAAAAAAGCUUUGCAGAAUUAGUUGGAUGAAGUUCGAAUAUCAUUUAAAAGGGAAUUCUGUGGUGGCUCCUUUCUUUGCUCUGUCUCUUGGGUCUUUGAGGAACUAAGACUUUACAUGAGAUGCGCGCAUGGCAUGUGUAAUCAUCUAUUGUCAGUUUCCUAGUUUGGGUGCUGUUUGCAGGAUGACUUCAAGUCUGAUGAACUUGAGAAGAGACAUCAGGAAGUCCUUAUUUGUCCCGUUCUGGCUUCUGGUUUGGGGUUGAUUAUCAUGUUGGUCUUAUUUAUUUCCGUAUUUGGUUUUCUAGAGUGCCUAUUUGGAAGAUUCUGUGAUGUGCCUAAGAAUUUAACUUUUUUGGAGAUGAUUUUCAAGUCCAAUGUGGAGGCUUUUAUAGCCAAUGGGACACAUGGAACACAAGAUGACUUGCUUGUUCACAUAUCCAAUGUUGUCCAGAGAUUAAGCAUUCUUCACUGACCCAUUGUUCUUCCUUUUGUUUCCGUUUCUUGAUUGAUCAUUGAUGGCUCUCGAUUGUGUUCUCGGUCUUGAUUUUUGAAGCUAUCUGGUUGCAGAAACCCCACCCCUGCUGUGGAGAUUCUUGAGGGUUUCGCUUGGCCUCUUUGGGAUGACAAUGUCUAUGGUUAUCGGAAUUAUCUGGUUUACGCCUCGUCCUUUGAUCGCUUAGUGAUUAAUCGACCCAUCGAUCGAAUUUUGCGUCAUUGUGUUUUGGCAGCUUAUCCUGGAUUCUUGUUAUUCUGUGUAAUGGGCAGUGGCUUCUUUCCUCUUGGGUCGUAUCUCUUGACGUCUAAGGGUGUCAUUAUGGGAAGUGCUUGGCUUACCUCCUCCUCUGAUCCUUUAUUGAUCCAUCGACCGAUCCUUUACUUGUUUUACGAGCUGCUUAUGGAAUUUGUUAUUUGGUGAACUCGCAGUGGCUUCUUUCCCCUUGGAGCGGAACUUUUUGUCUGAGGAUGUCAAGGACAAUGAAUACGAUGAGACUGGUUGGAGUCUUGCCAGACUUGACAACCGGUGAUCUGCUACGAGCCGAUGAUUGUCUGAAAUUGGUUAAGCUUUAUCGGGUUUGAAUGAAAUUUGUUCUCCAGUCCCAUAAUUUUCUGAUUAAUGCGAAAACCGAUUCUCAUUCCUUCAAAGGUCGGUGUUUGGUUGAUGUAUGAUCUGCAAUGGUUCUUUUUUUGCAAGGUGUUCGGGCCCCAACAAAUCACUAUCCAAUCCAGAUUCACUUCGUCUUAUUUUUAUUGAAGUUCGAAAGUCGGUAUCUCCUUCCUAGAAGUAGCCCUCUCCCUCGUGUCUUCAUCCUUCUCAUCGUGCAUCUAUGAUUGUGCACGCUCCUCUCAGUUGACAGCCUCUGCGAAGUACUCUUCAGAGGAGACAUCGUUCCUGAAACGCGCUCUUGAUCCUUCUCCUUUUCUUUUUGUUUCGUGAUUGAUUAUUAAAUCGGUUUGAUUCUGAUGUUAUUUUUCAAAGGUUACGCCUCCGCCUCUCCAUGACUCUGCCAUGCUGUGGGCAUCGUUAGGGAUUGCGCUCAUCUGAUCAUUGAUUGAUCUUUCCAAGUUUAAUUGUAUUAGGAGCUGAUUCUGGUAUUCACUAUUCCGUGAAUUGGCAGUGGCUUCUUUCUUCUUGGAGCGAUCAUUUUGUUUGAGGAUGUUGGCUGAGGACAAUAAAUACAACGCAAUAGGUCAGUUGGUUACAUAGAAUAAGACAUUUGGGCUUUUUGGAGGACUAAUGAUCUAUCUUGCACUCUUUGGUUGAGCUGAUGAUCUAGAAGUCUUUGUCAUCAGGACAAGCGAUGGGCUGAAAUUUUGACAGUUGGGUGAUCUGUUGCGUUUUCAGUGGGGCUGAGUUGAUAAUUUUUUGAAUCCCUGGUUAUCGUUGGUUUGAACAAAACUUGUCCUUCACUUCUGUUAUUUUCUAUCAAUCCGAAAGAUCAGAUCUAGUUCUCUUCCCUUCACAGAUCAGAGUUUGGUCGAGGCAAUACUUUACUGGGCCAAGUUCGAUAUCGAACGUCUGCGAUCAGUGAUGUUCUUGCUGCAUAUGCAUCAAUUCCUAAAUUGUCUUCCACUUUUGUUAUCUUCUAGUUAAGGUUGAACGAUCAGAUGUUCUCUUUCCUUCGCAGGUCAGAAUUUGGUCGAGGCAAUACUUUACCGAUUCAAUUUUGAUUCUGUGAUUGGUGAUGGUUCUUUCUUGCUGCAUAUGUACCAAUCACGAUUUACUGUUCUUCAUCGACCCUUCUUCUUUUGUUUCUGUUUUCCUGAUUGAUUGUGGAUCGGCCCAUUCCUUUCUCUGUCUGAUUUUUGAAGCAUCUGGUUGCAGAACCCCUGUUGUGGAGAUUCUUGAGGGUUUGGCUUGGUUUCUUGGGACAAUACCCAUGGUUAUCCGAAUUAUCUUGUUUACGCUAAGUGAUUCAUUGACUGAUCAGUCUUUGCAUUAUUGUUUUCCCAGCUUAUUCUGGAUUUUUGUUAUUCUGUGAAUUGGUAGUGGCUUCUUUCCUCUUGGAUCAUGUCUCUUUCGUCUGAGGAUGUCGUUAUGGGAAGUGCUUGGUUUAGCUCUUCUUCUGAUCCUUUAUUGAUUUAUCGACCAAUCGAUAUUUCUGUUUACUUGUUUUACGAGCUGCUUCUGGAUUUUGUUAUUUGGUGAGUUCGCAGUGGCUUCUUUCCCCUUGGAGCGAACUUUUUGUCUGAGGAUGUCAAGGACAAAAUGAGUACGAUGACGCCGGUCAGUUUAGGCUUUUUGGAGGACUGAUGGGUCUGUUGUAUUUUUCUUGAGUUGAGAUGAUAAACGAGUAGUCUUUGAUCACAUCUUAGACCAGGUGAUAGACUGAAAUUUACUGGUUUUGAUUUAAAUUUGUUCCAGUCUUUUAUCUUUGGGAGUUGAUUAUUGUCUAGUCCUAAUCCUCUCACAGGUUGGACUCUUGCCAAACUUGACAAGUGGUGAUCUGCCGUGAGCUGAUGAUUGUCUGAAAUUGGAGAAGCUAUCGUUUCUUGAGGCAGUUAUCGGUUCGAAUGAAAUUUAUUCAACAAUCUCAUAAUUUUCCAAUUAAUGCGAAAACUGAUUCUCAUUCCUUUGGAGGUCAGUGUUUGGUCGACGUAUGAUCUGUGAUGGUUCCUUCUUUGCAAGGUGAACGCCCCAACAGCUCACUAUCCAAUCCAUAUCUGCUUCAUCUUAGCCGGGGUCUCCUUCCUAGAAAUAGUCCUUCCCUCGUGUCCUCAUCCUUCAGUCUCAUCGUUGAGUUUGUGAUUGUGCACGCAUUCCUCCUCUCAGUUGACAGCCUCUGCGAAGUACUCUUCAGAGGAGACAUCGUUCCUGAAACGCGCUCUUGGUUCUCUUCUUUUCUUUUUGUUUCUUGAUUGAUUAUUUAAUCGGUCUGAUUCUGUUUAUGCUAUGUUAUUUUCCAAAGGUUACGCCUCACCUUUCUGGGACUCUACCAUGUUGUGGGCAUCAUUAGGGUUUGCGCUCCUCUGAUUGUUGAUUGAUUCAUCAUUGAUUGAUCUUUCUGUUUAAUUGUAUUUCUGGUAUUCAUUAGUGGCUUCUUUCUCCUUGGAGUGAUCAUUUGUCUGAGGAUGUUGUUUGAGGACAAUGAAUACAAUGUAACUGGUCAAUUGGUUACAUAAAAUAGGACAUUUGGCUUUUUGGAGGAGUAAUGAUCUAUCUUGCACUCUUUGGUUGAGCUGAUGAUCUAGAAGUCUUUGUCUUCAGAACAAGCAAUGGACUGAAAUUUUGACAACCUUCUAGGCUUCUUUUACAGGUUGGAAGUCUUUUUGGAUUUGACAGCUGGUGAUCUGUUGCGUUUUCUGUGGGGUUGAGUUUAUAAUUGUUUGAGAUUGGAUGAGAUCCUGCUUGUGGGAACUUAGGCAGUUAUUGGUUUGGAUGAAACUUGUCGUUUAGUUCUGUUAUUUUCUAGUUAAUCCGAAAUAUCAGAUCUAGUUCUCUUCCCUUCGCAGAUCAAAGUUUGAAUGGGGCAAUACUUUACCUGGCCAAGUUUCAUAUGGAGCGUCUGGGAUCAGUGAUGUUCUUUCUUGCUGCAUAAGAAUCAAUUAAUAAGGAUCUGGCUUGUUGCAGAAGCUUAUUUUCAUCUGUUUCCUGUUGCCUCUUUGGGACUUUGCCAUGAUCAUGGACAUCAUUAGGGUUUACUCUCCUGCUUUGACCAUUUAUUAAUUGAUUGGUUGGUCGUUCUAUUUAGUUGUUUUACAAGCAGAUUCUGGAUCUGUUUUCUCGUGGAUUUGAAGUAACUUCUUCUCUGAUGGACCGAUUUCUACUUCCGAGGAUAUCAUGUAAAGAACAGGAAAUAUGAUGAAUUUGGUCAAUUGUUUUUGUAGAAUAAAGCAUUCGAGCUUUUUUGCAACUGACUAUUCCUUUGCAGUAUAAUGUUGGGUUGAUGGACUAGGAGUACUGGGUGAUGAACUGAAACUUUUAAUAAUUUCCUGGACACUUAUGUUUCUUUUUCAAAAAUAAUUCUUUCAUUAAUUAUCUUUGGGGGUAGUGGGAAGAAUUGAGAUGAUAAUCGUCAACUUCUAAUUGCUUUAGGUUGAAGGUUUGCUGAAUUUGAGAAGUGCUGAUCCAUCGCCUUUUUUGCAAGGCUGAGUGGAUGAAUUGUGGUGACCAGGUUUUGUUUGAAAUUGGAUAAGCUCUCAUUUAUUGGAUUCUUGAUAAUGUUUGCUGACUCUAGUUUCUUUAUGUUUUUAUUAAAGCAAGAGGAUCACCGUUCAGUUCUCUUUCUUUUGUAGGUCAGAAAUCAGUUAACUUUACCUCUUACUUCAAUAAGGAGCUUUCUUUAAUCUAUGAUGGUUCUUCAUAGUUGGAUAUUAGAGGAAUGGUUUGAUUGGACAAGAUCCUUAACUAUGUAACAUGGACACGUUCGGGAGGCCGACGUGUCGGUGUCCAACACGUGGUCAACAGGUGUGGGAAAUCUGCCAUGCUGUCAACGAGCUGGACACGCUGCCGACAUGUGAGUCCGGAAUCCCGACACUCAAUUCCAACAUGCACGGGGUCAAUUUUAUAAAUUUUCAAAAAAUUAGGGGUCAGAAUGUAAAUGUAUAAAAAAAUAAAAAAAUAAAAGAAAGAAAAGGGUGAAAGAAAAUCCUAAUCUUUUGUUCUCAUCUUUAGAGUGCCUUCACUCGCGCUCUAUACUCCCUCCCCCUCUCGCUUCGCGAUUUCUCUUCUUCGCUUGAACCAAUGACGUCCGCCGAGGAGGCCUUGAAGAGGAACACCGAUUGCAUCUAUUUCCUCACCAUUUCUCAUCUUCUUCCUUCGCAUCCUCCAAGCUCCAACCCCCGAAUCCCCACCCUGAACACACCACCACCCUUCUCCGUUUCAUGGACCAAGAACCUUUCUAGCAGAUGGCUCGUCCUCCUCUCCCUCCCGGCACACGCCAUUAUUUUUUUAUUAUUUAUUUUUCCAUGACAUGAAGUAAAUUCUAGACUUUUUAUUAUUAUUUAUUUAUUUGUGGACUUAAAUCGAAUUUAAAAAUAAUAAUUUAUCAUGUAUGUAUAAAACUAUAUAUUUAAUAUACAAUGUGUCGGAAUUCUCUAUUUUUUGAUAAAUGACAUAUUGCGUGUCGUGUCGUGUCGUGUCGCAUGUGGCAUGUCGGUGUCGGUGCUACGUAGAUCCUGAAUACUUUGGCACUUUUAUCUGAGUAUUAAGUUGUUUUUGGAAGGUUAAUAAUUGUCGACUUUCUUCUGUUGUGUAGGAGUUGUUUACAAGUCUAGAAAGCUUGAGGUCCACAUUAGUUUUGGCUUGCUUCUCAUCAUUCCUAUAUUAUAUUUGAACUGCAAUCACUAAUCGAAUCGUUUUUGGAAAUCAGGCAAAUAGUUCAUGCAGGAUGUAUUCGUCAUGGUGCUCUUAUAGCAGACUCUUGGCAAAUCUAACUUUGGCUGGCACUUAUGACUUUCGAUUUUAUUUCCUUUAUCAUUCCUCUUGGAGCAAUCUCUUCAACCGAGCAUGUCGUCUAGGGAUGUUAAAUACAUGGGAGCUGGCCAGUUAACAUAGAAUAAGGUGCUUGGGCUUCUUGGAGGAAUGGUGAUCUAUUAUGCCGUCUUUGUUUGCUUGAGUUCUGAAGUAGUCUUUGAUCACAUCAUCAGGACGUGCAACGGACUGAAAUUUUGAAGAUUUCGAGGCAUUUUGUAGUUUUGAUUUAAGUUUGUCUUCGGUUGAUUAUCUUUGGGGAGCGGUGAGAUAAUUAUUGUCGAGUUCUAAUUCCUCUACAGGUUGAAGUUUUGCCGGGUUUGAGAAGUGGCAAUCUAUUGUGGUCUUAUGUGGGGCUGAGUUGAUGAUUGUUUGAAAUUGGACAAGCAGCCGCUUUGUAGAUCUUUUUUCCAGUUUUGGUGUGAUGAUUAGGGCGUAGUUCUCUUUCCUUCGAUGCAAACCUCUUCUGGUUCAAUGUGGAAUGUCGUCAAUCUGCGAUGGUUCUUUCUAGAUUUCAUUUAACAAUCUCUUCUUUCUUCGUGCUUCUAUUGGCUUUUGUUGUAUUUAUAAGGUGAAUAAUCAUUGACUAUCAUCCAUUGAAGGGAUUGUUUAGGAGUCUGGAAAGCUUAAGGUCCACUAAGUUCUGGCUCAUUACACUCUUCAUUCUUGUAAUGCAUGCUGCAAUCACUAUUUUAAUUGCUGGUAAAUCAUGCAGAUAUUGCAUGUACGAUUUAUUCGUCUUACUUUUUUUAUUUUUCGGAAAACUAGCUUCACACAAUACCUAGUUUGGCUUAGGCUUUCAUUCUAUACGAUUGAUGUGUUUUCUUUUGGUACAGAACCUUUGGUGGAACUUUUCCGUUUAUCAGCUGAUUUCUAUGCUUUAGGUGGUUGUUGAGGAGUGGUCAUGGACAUUGUUAGUUUUUACACUCAUUGAUCCAUCCUUCUGUUGUUUUGGAGCUGUUUCUGGCAUUAUAAUCCAGUGGAUUGGUAUUAGCUUCUUUUCUCACGGAGCGAUCUCUUUGAUUGAGGAUGUUGUCUAAAGAAUGGUACAUAUGAUGAGGUUGUUCAAUUAUUACUUGGAAUAACUGAGCUUUACUCGAGUUCAACGAUCUAUUCACAUCAAUCUUUGGUUGGGUUGGUGGAUGGGCAGAGUCCGUGAUCAUCUUCAGGACCGGGUGAAGAACUGAAAUUUCGAUUAACUCCUGCUGCGUAGGCGCUUGGGUUUUUGUUGAAUCUCAUUCCUCAGAUGAUUCCCUUGGAGUGGAAAGAUGACAAUUGUCUUUGUUCUAAUUCGUUUAUAGGUUGGAGUUUUGCCACAUUUUAGAAGUGAUGAUCUAUCGCCUUUUCUGUGUGGCUGAGUUGAUGAAUUGCAGAGUCCGGGCUUUGUUUGAAAUUGGAUAAGUUCCCACUUCUUGGAUUUUGGUUCAUUUGAUGUCCUCAAUCUCCAUGUGUAUAUGGAUCAAAUUCCUAAUCAAUUGAUAUUUUGGACGUGCUUUUAUGAUAGGGUGUGCAAGAACUAGCUUGACUAUUCUUUGAGGGUUUGAAGUUUGACGUAAGAUCUCUGGUUGUCAUCGGUUGGCCUCUCUGUUGGACACAUUUGCAAAAAGAGAGUACUAAGUCUCCUGAGUUGCAAUAAGAUAUCAGUAUGGGUUUGCUUAGCCUAUAUUUUCCACUGCUAUAAUACUUUCUUCUGGUACAGUAACAUUGUUGGGGACAUUUUACAAAUCAGGUUUUGUAGGUGAGAUGGGUUGUUUCUAGUUUGUAAUGCUGCCACCUCGAGGGUCUAAUUAUAUUUUAGGUUCUCAUUGAUCCGUGGGAUGUGAAGACUUUCCUGCCAGGACCUAAGAUAUACUUCAUUUAAACUGUUAGCAUCUCAGUCUGAAAAGAUGAACUGGUACUGUGCUUUUGCCUUUUAGCUUCCUAAUAACAGACACCACGAAGGUUCCUUUCAUAACUAGAAGGUCUCCUUCUUCUCAUGUUUCAUGAUAGGCAUAUGUGAUGAGGCCUCUCAUGGGGAUGUUGACAGGACAGCCAUCUAGACAUAACUUCACUUGGCAUUGCUUGCGCUCUGACCGGUUCUCUCCUUUCUGCUGAUUCUGCUGUUUAUUAUCCAUCACAAAGCUGUGUUGUUGCGUGUAUGCUGUCAGCAGACGUGGCUGGUCAGGCUGGGAGGAUCAGACACUAGGUGCUGGGUUGGCGCUUUUGUCAAAUUUUGUAGUUUUUUUUAUGGGUGAAACUGAAGGGGCAGACAACAAUCCUACAGUGAAUAAGCUUUGGUUUGAGGUUUUAACGUAUCUGGUGAGCAUGGAUUCAGUCUACUUCCCCUUCUACUUCGCAUGUAUAAUCUAAUGUAAUAAAGCAUAGCUGUUGAAGCUCUUUAGGGCUAUGAAUUAUAAAUCUCCAAUUGCGGUGUGAUUUUUUGCCAAUGAUGAUUUUGUAGUCCAGAUACUCUAAUUCAUGGUUCUAGGGUCUCUUUCUCAUCGGCUCCACAAGGGUUGCUCAGAGUCAUCUUGCUUCUAAUUGAAGAUAUUAAAUGGUUGCCUUAUGAUCGGUUUCAUUUACUUUGGUAUUUACUUUGAAGGAAUUAAUUUUGAAGAAUCUGGCUGGGUCUAUUUUCAGAACAAUGUUGGUGAAGGCUCUGAUUUUAUACAGAAAUUAUCGACGUUAUUGAGGUUCAAGUCUCCCACUGAUCAUAUUAACUAGUGGCUUCCAUGCUAUACGGAUUUAUUCAGUCAUUCGGUGCUUGUUCCAGUUUAGAGCGAUCUUACCAAGGACCGUGUGAGGAUGCUAAUUGAUCAAAGUUGUUGGAGAAUCCAAGUUCUUGAGUUUGGGGAAGACAGGAGGUUAUUAUCUAACGGUAUUAUGUGUAGUUGAGCUACUGAAUUGUUGUUUUUCUUUGUGGAUCGGGGUGAUAAACGAUGACUUGAUCUUUCUGUAGGGGUUGUCUGUAGCUGCAUGAACUCUGCAAAUAUCUGGUUUAUGAUGUUCUCAUUUUCAAGGAUUAGAGGAGAUGCGAUAAACAUCUAUUCCCAAUCCAGAUUUUGUUUUCCUUAACAGAUCAUUACCCAAUCCAGAUUCGCUUCGUCUUAUUUUUAUUGAAGUUCGAAAGCUGGCGACUCCUUCCUAGAAAUAGCCCCCUCCCUCGUGUCUUCAUCCUUCUCGUCAUGUGUCUAUGAUUUUGCAUGCUCCUCUCAGUUGACAGCCUCUGCGAAGUACUCUUCAGAGGAGACAUCGUUCCCGAAAUGCGCUCUUGAUCCUUUGCCUUUUCUUUUUGUUUGUUGAUUGAUUAUUCAAUCGGUCUGAUUCUGAUGUUAUUAUCCAAAGGUUACGCCUCCAGCUCACCAGGACUCUGGCAUGUUGUGGGAAUCGUUAGGGUUUGCGCUCAUCUGAUCAUUGAUUGAUUCAUCAUUGAUUGAUCUUUCCAAGUUUAAUUGUAUUAUUAACUAAUUCUGGUAUUCACUAUUCUGUGAAUUGGAAGUGGCUUCUUUCCUCUUGGAGUGAUCAUUUUGUUUGAGACUGUUGUCUGAGGACAAUGAAUACAACACAACUGGUCUGUUGGUUACAUAGAAUAAGACAUUUGGGCUUUUUGGAGGUCUAUUGAUCUAUCUUGCACUCUUUGGUUGAGCUGAUGAUCUAGAAGUCUUUGAAUGAGAUUGAUGAACACAUCUCUACAACCUUUCACCGGUUUCUAAGAUAAUGGUGAUUUCAAUUUGGUCAAGAUGGUUGUUGAGACUGAGGUUUUUUGGUUUUGAUCACGACACACUGUCGAUAAGUCGGACAAUGUGGAAACAAAUUGUGUUUUAUAUGGAUAUGGUUUCUUUCUGGUCUUUAAUAGCUAUGGAAUUUAAUUAAGGCAGGGAAGAUUUACUAAUUGCAGGAGUCUUUCAAUCAUUUCAGUCACUGUAAGGAUGAUACCAUCUUAGUUUGGCUGGAUAGUUAGCAUCUGCACUCCCUUAAUGGUAAUUUCACUUGAAAUGACUGGUAGGUUGCAAAUGGAUGAGGUUCUUACCUUCUUGGGAAAUUGCUUCAGCCGUAUAUGAGAUUGGUCUAUUCUCUUUUCUUUGUUAUUUAGUUGUUCUCGCCUUGAUUCCCUUGUGAUGUAUAUAAGAUUUACACCUGAUGGAGAUGUUUCACAAAACCUAUCUUACUCAUUUCUCCCUAGAUUCUGAUGUCGUUGAUGUGGAUGGUCCUUUUAAUAGCAUACACCAGAUAUUAGGAAGGUGAUCUUCAAGAGUGUUGAUAUCUCAUCUAGCUAUAUUGAGUAAUGACGAAACGUUUCUUCUUUGGUUAUACAGAUUCUUGCCGGCCACUAUGUUAUUGGCUCUCUGGGAAAUGCUCACCUAGCAUGGUUAUUGUAAAUGCUAUUAGAUGUGGAAGUAUUUACUUGUGUCCAGUUUCUGGUACUAAUUACCACCUCUAUUACUGCUGAGCACUUCCAUUUAUUCGUUAUAGUAACCUGGUUCUUGUUAUAUAAUGAGUAUUUUGUAUUAAGUUUGGUAACUACCUUGAUCAUGUAGCCAUAUGAAAGCUAUCUCUAGUUCUGAUCAAGAGGCAAUUCUUAAGGAUUUGUUAGUAUUACUCGUUUUCCUUCUCAUUGAUGCUUACCUUGCAAGGCUUUAUUGUUUCCGCUGUCAGCAAUCAGGAGAGGUCAUGAAAUUGAGAACUAACCGAGAUUGCCAGUCCCACCUAUAGAUCUUCGAACUGAUGAAAAGGUCUUGGUAUAUCUCCUUCGCCUCCUAGGGACCUGAAUUCAUUGUUGGGUUUUUGUUUGCCUAUGGUUGUUCUUGACAGAUUGGUUAAGCCCGAUACAAUCUCAACUGAUUGUGAACAGGUAUUACUCUACUGUCUUGAGAUUUACUUGAAUGUUCAGAUUUGGAAACAUCUUUGGGGCACAUGAUUAUGAUGACGGAGCUAUCAGUAGAAGUUUGAUGUUUGUAUUUAAUUUCAGAAUCCCUAUCUUUAAUUUUAAUUUUGAACGUAGUUAUGACUCUCUCUCUUGAUUGUUAUCUCUUUCUUUGGAUGACAAGUGAGAUAAGAGGGUUAUCUUGCAGAUUCUGAAUCUGUUUAUUUGAAGAAGCCGGGAUCUUCUAUUUGCAUGUCCCUCAGCUCCAGGUUGUCGUGGUGAUUUCAAAUCUGUUUAGAGCCAGAUCCAUUGAUCUGUGCUCCUCAGCUCCUUCGUUACUUCAUCAUCUCUUACAAUUUUUUAGCAUUGUUGAUAAUGAAAUGCUAGGGAUUUUGCUCGCGUUAUAUAUAUGGUGACAGAGCCAGGCUUAAUUGUGAGAAGGUAUUGUCAAGCCAACGAUAGUGAACUGUCCACAAACUUUCUGCAAAUCCAUGUUGACAAGAGGGGUGAGUUUUAGAAUGACACGUCCUUUGUACUAUCUUAUGUGCUAAGAUACUUGUUUUGGAUCAUUCUUCAAACGUCACGAUUGUAUUCAUAUAUGAAAAGAGCUUCUGUGGCCCAAGAAACUAGUGCAGAUGAUGCAAUUAUCAUGCCAACCUCAGAAUUGGUGAAAAAUUGUGGCGAGGAAGGCUAUUCUCAGCAAUGCGGCGGCCAUUGAAUUUGCUGAAGUGCAGAUAUGGUAGAUUGGUUGGCUGGAGAGACUGCAAUUUUCUCUUGAUGUAAAGGACAAUACCUUAUCCCAUCUGGAGUUGUAAAUUUUCUGCUCUUCUGAAGGCUUGUGUUCUCUUUUGUCUUAGUUAAGUCACCAGAAUCAUCUGGAAGAUAAAGAGUUGUCAUGCCCUUGUUGUGGUGUGACCGUAGCAGAGGGGAACCAGAUCCGCUUGGUGCUGCUCAAGUAGGGAUGGAUGUCUUGAAAUUUUAGGGAAUGUGUUGCCAAGCGAGCAAUUGAAUCUGGACGGCUGCCAUGUUGUGAUUCUCGAUUCACAAUGAUGAUGUGCUCUUUUUCAUCCGUGGAGGUAGGCCAAGUUGGCCGAACCACGUAAAUUUUCGUGUGCAUCUUUUGGCAAUUUAUUGAUUUUUUAUCUA